CGGCACGGGUGAGUAACACGUAUCCAACCUGCCGUCUACUCUUGGACAGCCUUCUGAAAGGAAGAUUAAUACAAGAUGGCAUCAUGAGUCCGCAUGUUCACAUGAUUAAAGGUAUUCCGGUAGACGAUGGGGAUGCGUUCCAUUAGAUAGUAGGCGGGGUAACGGCCCACCUAGUCUUCGAUGGAUAGGGGUUCUGAGAGGAAGGCCCCCACAUUGGAACUGAGACACGGUCCAA
rnacentral:rRNA from 1 species